rnacentral:rRNA from 1 species
ANUGUAGGGGCGAGCGUUGUCCGGAAUUACUGGGCGUAAAGAGUUCGUAGGCGGUUUGAUAWGUCAGAUGUGAAAGGCGUAGGCUUAACCUAUGUAAGCAUAUGAAACUGUCAGACUUGAGGUAAGGAGAGGAAAGUGGAAUUCCUAGUGUAGCGGUGAAAUGCGUAGAUAUUAGGAGGAAUACCAGUGGCGAAGGCGACUUUCUGGACUUAAACUGACGCUGAGGAACGAAAGCGUGGGGAGCAAACAGGAUUAGAUACCCUGGUAGUCCACGCCGUAAACGAUGAGUGCUAGGUGUCGGGUAGAAAUAUUCGGUGCCGCAGCUAACGCAAUAAGCACUCCGCCUGGGGAGUACGUACGCAAGUAUGAAACUCAAAGGAAUUGACGGGGACCGCACAAGCAGCGGASAUGUGGUUUAAUUCGAAGCAACGCGAGAACCUUACCAGGGCUUGACAUGCCCCUGACCGCGCUAGAGAUAGCGAAUUAUCCUUUCGGGGAUACAGGGGACACAGGUGGUGCAUGGUUGUCGUCAGCUCGUGUCGUGAGAUGUUGGGUUAAGUCCCGCAACGAGCGCAACCUUGUAUUUAGUGCAGCAUAAGUUGGGCAYCUAGWAGAYGCGUGGACACACGAGGAGUGGGAUGACKCAAUCUCUGCCUUWGUCUGGYACCACKGYACWGUCGUMASRCRCAGUASUSASWUUCAACCUAUAURCWCUUUGAUCACUAACUAGGUUUUUUMCCACCWUGUCACCAUAGGGUUUUCCURAAGGUAUACGGUUACUUCUACCMGCCCUUUAGCUUAUCAWAGGGGGG